AACCUUUACACUGCACGACAGUGCGAUAGGGGGACUCCGAGUGUGAGGGCAUAUAGCCCUCGCUUUUCUGUACCGUAAGGUGGUACAGGAACAAGGACUGGGCAAGACCGGUGCCAGCCGCCGCGGUAAUACCGGCAGUCCGAGUGAUGGCCGAUAUUAUUGGGCCUAAAGCGUCCGUAGCUUGCUGUGUAAGUCCAUUGGGAAAUCGACCAGCUCAACUGGUCGGCGUCCGGUGGAAACUACACAGCUUGGGGCCGAGAGACUCAACGGGUACGUCCGGGGUAGGAGUGAAAUCCUGUAAUCCUGGACGGACCACCAAUGGGGAAACCACGUUGAGAGACCGGACCCGACAGUGAGGGACGAAAGCCAGGGUCUCGAACCGGAUUAGAUACCCGGGUAGUCCUGGCUGUAAACAAUGCUCGCUAGGUAUGUCACGCGCCAUGAGCACGUGAUGUGCCGUAGUGAAGACGAUAAGCGAGCCGCCUGAGAAGUACGUCCGCAAGGAUGAAACUUAA
rnacentral:rRNA from 1 species